rnacentral:lncRNA from 1 species
GUCUUCACUCAUUUUGUCGCCCCUCCCUCUCUCAUUCGAUAAUAUUCAAUUAUUUUUCUUUAAAUAUUUCACCCCAAAGCUAUGCCUCAUUUUAAGUAUUGUAACUCCCAAUCACCGCUACCCUUUCCGAUUGAUCUGAGCCUCAGGGCUCUGCCUGACUAAGUUGUUGGGAUUUAGUCUCGGGAUUUCGGGACAAGGUUGAUUUAGGGGUACUAUACUUAUCACGAAUACAUUAUAUAUUUUUAAUAGCCCAAAAGUUAUACCCAAAAUUUAUACCAGGAAUCCUUCUAGUUGAACCCUAAAGUUACACAGUGGGUCCAUCCCUUUUUCUCACCAUUUUAUUCUCUUUUUGUGAGUUACCCAAAACUAUUAUUUAUUAUUUAUUUUAUAAACAAACUUUCAUCAAUAGUCAUGCCUAUUAUUUUAUUUACCCAAUAGGGAACCAUAGUUGAGACACCCAAGUAAUCCUGCACAACCCCUAAAAUUUCCAGAACAAUCAGAAUCAGGAUCAGGGCCCCUAAAACUCAGGGGGGCAAAACCCUAGUUACGAUAAUCUAAAUAACUUUCUGGCCGUUUAGAAUUUUAUAAUUUCAUCGACUCAGCUAAGCUACUUAGACACGAAGCUACCUAUAGAAAAUAGGUUACCACUCGCGUAGCGCGACGCCCAUGGGGGGUACCCCUCGCGCUACGCGACGGUGUCAAAAUUCGGGUAUAAAUAGAGGGGGUUGGGACUUGAAAUCUGUCUUUGGAACGACGUAAAUCCGAGUUACGUAGAUCAAGUUAUCACAGAAACAGUCCAACACACACACACACUAAUAUCGAAUCGCUGCCGCAGAACAGGGUAAUUACUCGAUCGCUAUUACGAUUCAGUUUCCGGGAUCAAUAUACCCAAAGAAUGUCUAAGUGCCGCCCACAUUGGGUUAUGCUUUGUCGUUGUCGAUAAUUCGAUAAUGAGUUGAAGCAUUGUACUUUGUCGUUGUCGAUAAUUCGAUAAUGAGUUGAAGUACUAUACUUUGUCGUUUGUCAUUUUGAUAAAUGAGUUGAAGUAUUUCACUUGGUCAUUCAUUGUGAGAAUUUGAUCUCGGGAAAUUAUCGUAACUGCUGUAUUGAGCAUUAACCCGGUUUUUGUGAAAUUCGUUAAGGUUGAUUUAGGUUUUUCACCAAUACGUAUUCCAUUAUGUUAAACCACCAGAAAUACUCCCAACUACACCCUUACAAUCAAAUAAACUAUUAAAUCAUCAGAAGAUCCAGAAUAAUAAAGUGCAUGCUUAAUUAUCUGAAGAAAUAGAAUCAAGAAGUUGUUAACUCAAUCCUGCAUGCUGAUUUGUAAUUACAGUAGAUUGGAGUAAGGAUUGGAUCCGGCACUAAAAGACUUCAAGAAGUGGCUUAUUUUAUUAAUUACAUCAAAUUAAAAAGUAUUGUUUUUAUUAAAAGCUACCUUUGUAAAAUUUGGAAUUUAUUCCAUCCAUUUAAAUAAAACCCGGUGUUUCUAAACUCUGAUAUUUUUCCUAACUCACGGUCCUGAUGAAAUUUCCGCUGCAAUGUUUUUCAAAAUAAUCACCGGUACCACUGGACUGCUCGCGACUUCCGAUUCCGACCAGGAUGGGAUCGGGGGUCGUGACAGAAAAGGUGGUAUCAGAGCUAAGCCACUGCUUUAAGCUUAUAAGUGUUGUGAUAAUAAUACUUACGCUUAAAUAAAAGAGUUAGGAGAUUACUAUUACUAUUAACUGGUAGCACAUCUGAUAGCGUUUAGACUUGAACAUAAGAAAAGAUGCCUUAGUAUAAGCUAAGCCACUUGUUUAUGCAAAUAGGUGUUAUAAUAAUACCUAAGUUUAAACGGAGAAUUAGAAACUUAAUAUUAUCUGAUAGCACUCUGAAUGAUAUUUAGACUCGAACUUAAGAAUUUUGUCUUAAUAUAAAUUUCAAGAUAAAAUUUCUUAUAUAAGUAUAAAUAAGUAUAAUUGGUAUUCCAUAAGAAUAACGACUAGCAGGCAAUAGCAUUUAAUUGCCAUUUAUUCUUGUUUAUUGGUAUUAUUUGGUCUAGAAUAAGAUAUGUUAUGGGAAUACAAAUUUCCUUGAUUCUGGAUAAAAGUCCUAAUAAAAAAAGACACUUUUAAAAUCUUGAAAAGAUACUAUUUAUGGGAAAUAGAAAAUUUUCUCCGGCAAAACUGGGUAUAGAGUAGCAGACUCUCCAGCUUGUCCGGAUAUACUGAGGUUACCUCUCCGGCGCGAACCGGGUAAGAUGGGGUAUAAAUGUCAAAACAAGUGACAAGAUUUCCCUAAAUAAGUAUCAUGGCCUGAUAUCAGACUUGUUUUUGGAAAUAAGAAUCUGUUAAAUACAUUAACCUUAUAAAGGGUAUGUAUAUUACAGCAUGUAACACAUAUGAUUAUAUAGAUAUGUAUAUUUAUAAGAAAUUUCAAAAGCCAUAACAAUUGAUAAAUAAGGAUAAAGCACAAGUAUAUGUGUUAACAAUAAAUCUAGAUUCCUUUAUCAAAGAAUCUCUUACCUAUAUUGAUAUCAAACAUUAUUUUGUUUAAUCAUCUACCUCGUAACUCGAGCAACCAUAAUAAAUGGAAACCCAUUAAGUUGGGACACCAUAAGAAUUACCAAUGCGUUACCAUAAAUUAUUAACGCCAUAAAUUAUGAACGCAAGUAAGAGGCAUGUAAAGUUGUGCUAAUGCACAAGAAAACACAUGAAACUUAAAUUAUACGUCCACAGACGUCAAAGUUUAUCACACACAACUUCCAAGGCAAGACCUUUGCAAAAUAUAAAUUAGGCACGAUGACACCAAUAUUAAUUCCGUCGGUAAAAGUACUACUAAUCAAAAAGCGGUAUUUUGCCACAUGAUCUUACAAACGAUCAAAAUUUCGUUAAAGUACAUUGGAACAAUAUUUCACAAACAUCGGUGCAUAGACUAACCUGAGGCAUAAUUAUUAGCACUACAAAAGAAGUCAUAUAUUUUUGCAAAUCCCCUAUUUCAUUUCACUUCAUUUGACAUUCUCUGAUAAUGUCAUUUAACAAAUAAUUAUCACACGAAAUUCCAGAUAAGAAGUUCCUUCGUUGCAAUUCUGACCUCUAUGAAUAAACUUUUGCUACUUCCCUUAAUGAUCAUCAUACAAUAAGAAUUUCUUUCAUAAUGGCGAAUAUUGAUCUAUAUUAUUUCUUGGUAAAUUUACACGGUUCAUAUGCACUGUUUAUUGUAUAUGUGGUUCCUUAGAGUUAUGAAGACCAUAGGAAGGCUUCAUUCCAAAUUAUUAUUUUAUCCAAAAUAUCAUUUCGCUAUACUUGAUCUUUGCAUUGUAAACCGCGUUUUGCAAAAUAAUUACUCUUAGAUAUUUGAUCGAUAACUUUCUUGAAAAGAAUCGAUUUCCUUUUUAAUGGUAUACAUGGUUUUGUUGUAACCAUGUCAAAACUUUCUUGAACCCGUUUUGUUUAAACAAAGUUCAAUCAUUUUGAACUUGCUCACAUUUCGUAUUCAAUUCAAAGUCCCAUAUGAUAUUUUAAGCCAUCAUAUUCAAAAUCGAAAUAAUCCCAAUAAGC